rnacentral:misc_RNA from 1 species
GCGUGCUCUCUGCACUUCACCUCUGAUGUGGUGCAAAUGAAUGUCUGCAUGCAAAUCUUGCACUGCAAACCAACAUCAGACGCAAACAAUCACAAACCAAAAGCAAAAGUAGAGGAAAUUUUAUGGGGGAAAAGAAGGAGCCAAGCCCAGAACGGUACCUGGAUCGUCAUGGCUUUCUUGUUUGAUUCAAGCUGACUUCCUGCACACAGAUCGGACAAUACCCAGGUGAAAACGAAAACAUGACUAUUACUAUAUAGAUCUCGAGUAAAAAGAAGAUUGAACAAAGGUUUAAGAAAAUUUCAACUAAUCAAAGAAGAAAAUCCCG